AAAGAAAGAAGGCGGAUUUUCAUCAAGACUAAUGGAAAGCAGCAGCAGCGCUGGCAGUAGUGCUGAGUACACCUUUAAAUGUAAGUAGUUUGUUUUUAUUUUUUUAACUGAACAUUAUUAAAAUACAUGACGGUAACGGAGCCACCGGAAUUUGUAGGGCCAGCUAAAGCUAAAGCUUAGAGCUAAUCUGUUGAUACGAGACGUUCAGCAACAUUAAAAGCCUUCAUAAAAAUGUCACAAUUUUUGAUUUUAACUUACAUUUUAUUGUAACUGUGCUGAUAGCCGUAUCCUUCACAAAUCCGAUCAAUUUAUUCUCAUGCAGUUUAUUACAGAUGAUUAGAACUGUCAAAGCUUAAUGCAGCUGAAGAAAUAACAUCAGUCCAGCUGUACUGGGCUGUUAAUACUGCAAACGUUUUGUUUGAAUACUCAAUAACGUAUAGUUAAUUUACAGUACAGUAUAAUAAGGUUUAAAGUAUAAUUCACUUGAAGAACAAUAUCUGCGUAAUUAUACAGAACAGUCAUUUUGCCUGUUGACAUAACAGAAAUAUGCUUUACAUUUCAUUUUGUUCUAGGGAGCAGGGAGGAGUUGAUAAAACUCCGUGGGCAAAAUUACCACCUCUUUGCCGGGGCCAAAAACACUGCCGCAUUCGGAUGGAGAACAAUCCUGCAAAAAAUGGGCCUGGAGGGUGAAGUUGAGCCACAACAGGCCAAAAAAAAGUGGGACAACUUGAAAAAAAAAUACGAAGAAUGCAAAGAUCCAGGGACAGGGCAGGGGGUCAGUGGGAAGCCUACUGCUGCCACCUGGCCAUGGUUUGUCCUCAUGGAGGAGGUAUUAGGACAGAGGCCCUCUAUUGCCCCACCUGUCCUAAUUGCCUCCAUCCCUGAGGACGCACCAGGGCCAGGUGCUGCAGAGGCUGAGCAGCAUCAGGGGGAAGAUGAGGAAGAAAAUGAGGAUGAAAGGCCAGGAGAGAGGAAGGAAAGGAGGAAGAGAAGUCGGAGUGACGAGUUGGUGGAUUUAAUCAGGGAGGAUAUCAGAUGGCAGAGGGAGGCGGAGGAGAGAAGAGAAAGAGAGAGUCGGGAAAGGAUGGACAGAUUAUUUGAUUUAUUGGAGAGGAUGGUGGACAGACGUUACAUUUUGUUAGUGUUUUUUUUUACAAGUUCAGGUUCUGUGUUGCUGUUGUUGUUAAAUUAAACUAUUAAAUUUUUUA